CCUACGGGUGGCUGCAGUGGGGAAUCUUGGGCAAUGGGCGCAAGCCUGACCCAGCAACGCCGCGUGAAGGAAGAAGGCCCUCGGGUUGUAAACUUCUUUUGUCAGGGACGAAGAUAGUGACGGUACCUGCCGAAUAAGCCACGGCUAACUACGUGCCAGCAGCCGCGGUAAUACGUAGGUGGCAAGCGUUAUUCGGAUUUACUGGGUGUAAAGGGUGUGUAGGCGGGACUGCAAGUCAGAUGUGAAAUUCCAGGGCUCAACCCUGGAACUGCAUUUGAUACUGUAGUUCUUGAGUGAUGGAGAGGCAGGCGGAAUUCCGGGUGUAGCGGUGAAAUGCGUAGAUAUACGGAGGAACACCAGUGGCGAAGGCGGGCUGCUGGACAUUAACUGACGCUGAGGCGCGAAGGCGUGGGGAGCGAACGGGAUUAGAUACCCUAGUAGUC
rnacentral:rRNA from 1 species